CCUCUUGGUAUUUGAUUUGGUGCCUUGCAUCAUUGAUUUACAUUUGAGUGAGUGGCGAACUGGUGAGUAACACGUGGGAAACCUGCCCAGAAGCGGGGGAUAACACCUGGAAACAGAUGCUAAUACCGCAUAACAACUUGGACCGCAUGGUCCGAGUUUGAAAGGUGGCUUUGGCUAUCACUUUUGGAUGGUCCCGCGGCGUAUUAGCUAGAUGGUGGGGUAACGGCUCACCAUGGCAAUGAUACGUAGCCGACCUGAGAGGGUAAUCGGCCACAUUGGGACUGAGACACGGCCCAAACUCCUACGGGAGGCAGCAGUAGGGAAUCUUCCACAAUGGACGAAAGUCUGAUGGAGCAACGCCGCGUGAGUGAAGAAGGGUUUCGGCUCGUAAAACUCUGUUGUUAAAGAAGAACAUAUCUGAGAGUAACUGUUCAGGUAUUGACGGUAUUUAACCAGAAAGCCACGGCUAACUACGUGCCAGCAGCCGCGGUAAUACGUAGGUGGCAAGCGUCGUCCGGAUUUAUUGGGCGUAAAGCGAGCGCAGGCGGUUUUUUAAGUCUGAUGUGAAAGCCUUCGGCUCAACCGAAGAAGUGCAUCGGAAACUGGGAAACCUGAGUGCAGAAGAGGACAGUGGAACUCCAUGUGUAGCGGUGAAAUGCGUAGAUAUAUGGAAGAACACCAGUGGCGAAGGCGGCUGUCUGGUCUGUAACUGACGCUGAGGCUCGAAAGUAUGGGUAGCAAACAGGAUUAGAUACCCUGGUAGUCCAUACCGUAAACGAUGAAUGCUAAGUGUUGGAGGGUUUCCGCCCUUCAGUGCUGCAGCUAACGCAUUAAGCAUUCCGCCUGGGGA
rnacentral:rRNA from 1 species